rnacentral:rRNA from 1 species
GACGAACGCUGGCGGCGUGCUUAACACAUGCAAGUCGAACGGAAAGGCCCUGCUUUUGUGGGGUGCUCGAGUGGCGAACGGGUGAGUAACACGUGAGUAACCUGCCCUUGACUUUGGGAUAACUUCAGGAAACUGGGGCUAAUACCGGAUAGGAGCCCCUGCUGCAUGGUGGGGGUUGGAAAGUUUCGGCGGUUGGGGAUGGACUCGCGGCUUAUCAGCUUGUUGGUGGGGUAGUGGCUUACCAAGGCUUUGACGGGUAGCCGGCCUGAGAGGGUGACCGGCCACAUUGGUACUGAGAUACGGCCCAGACUCCUACGGGAGGCAGCAGUGGGGAGUAUUGCACAAUGGGCGGAAGCCUGAUGCAGCAACGCCGCGUUCGGGAUGACGGCCUUCUGGUUGUAAACCGCUUUCGCCUGUGACGAAGCGUGAGUGACGGUAAUGAGUAAAGAAGCACCGGCUAACUACGUG